GCGCACCAGUCGCGAACCUUCGCAAUGCGGGAACCGCGACGAGGGACUCCAGUGCCUACGCUCAGCGUAGGCUGUUCCCGAGCCUAGAAAGCUCGGGGAGUAAGGGCUGGGUAAGACGGGUGCCGGCCGCCGCGGUAAUACCCGCAGCCCGAGUGGUGGCCACUAUUAUUGGGCCUAAAGCGUCCGUAGCCGGCCCGGUAAAUGCCU
rnacentral:rRNA from 1 species